UUAAAAAUGGAAACGUCAGGUGCCAUAACGACUUCCUGUCGAAAUGGAUAAACGGGAAUCAGGUGCGCGGCAAACCGCCGCAAUGCCUGGGCUGCCCCCGCAACGGUAAGCGCUAAACGGUGCAUCCAACACGCCACUGGGUUUUUACCCGGGAAGGCGAUGCACUUCAGGCGCAAGCCCGGAGACCGGCCUGAAUGCCAUGCCAAUG
rnacentral:ncRNA from 2 species